rnacentral:misc_RNA from 1 species
GAUGAAGAACGCAGCGAAAUGCGAUAGGUAAUGUGAAUUGCAGAAUUCAGUGAAUCAUCGAAUCUUUGAACGCACCUUGCGCUCCUUGGUAUUCCGAGGAGCAUGCCUGUUUGAGUGUCAUUAAUAUAUCAACCUUCUCUUUUUUGAGUUGUUUGGAUGUGGGGGUUUGCUGGCCUCUUAAAUGAUUCAGCUCCCCUGAAAUGCAUUAGCAGAACAACCUGUUCAUUAGCGUGAUAAUUAUCUAUGCUAUUGAAUGUGAGGGCAGUUCAGCUUUCUAACCGUCCUUGGACAAUUCAUCAUUAAUGUGACCUCAAAUCAGGUAGGACUACCCGCUGAACUUAAGCAUAUCAAUAAGCGGAGGA